AAAAGGUAAGCUGCUAAGAGCGAAUGGUGGAUGCCUUGACUGGUAAAGGCGAUGAAGGACGUACUAGACUGCGAUAAGCUACGGGGAGCUGUCAAGAAGCUUUGAUCCGUAGAUUUCCGAAUGGGGCAACCCAAUGUAUAGAGAUAUACAUUACCUAUAUAGGAGCGAACGAGGGGAAUUGAAACAUCUUAGUACCCUCAGGAAAAGAAAUCAAUAGAGAUUGUGUCAGUAGCGGCGAGCGAAAGCGCAAGAGGGCAAACCCAGUGCUUGCACUGGGGGUUGUAGGACUGCAAUGUGCAAGAGCUGAGUUUAGCAGAACAUUCUGGAAAGUAUAGCCAUAGAGGGUGAUAGUCCCGUAUGCGAAAAACAAAGCUUAGCUAGCAGUAUCCUGAGUAGGGCGGGACACGAGGAAUCCUGUCUGAAUCCGGGUCGACCACGAUCCAACCCUAAAUACUAAUACCAGAUCGAUAGUGCACAAGUACCGUGAGGGAAAGGUGAAAAGAACUGAGGUGAUCAGAGUGAAAUAGAACCUGAAACCAUUUGCUUACAAUCAUUCAGAGCACUAUGUAGCAAUACAGUGUGAUGGACUGCCUUUUGCAUAAUGAGCCUGCGAGUUGUGGUGUCUGGCAAGGUUAAGCAAACGCGAAGCCGUAGCGAAAGCGAGUCUGAAUAGGGCGCUUAGUCAGAUGCUGCAGACCCGAAACGAAGUGAUCUAUCCAUGAGCAAGUUGAAGCUAGUGUAAGAACUAGUGGAGGACUGAACCCAUAGGCGUUGAAAAGCCCCGGGAUGACUUGUGGAUAGGGGUGAAAGGCCAAUCAAACUUCGUGAUAGCUGGUUCUCUCCGAAAUAUAUUUAGGUAUAGCGUUGUGUCGUAAUAUAAGGGGGUAGAGCACUGAAUGGGCUAGGGCAUACACCAAUGUACCAAACCCUAUCAAACUCCGAAUACCUUAUAUGUAAUCACAGCAGUCAGGCGGCGAGUGAUAAAAUCCGUCGUCAAGAGGGAAACAACCCAGACUACCAGCUAAGGUCCCUAAAUCUUACUUAAGUGGAAAACGAUGUGAAGUUACUUAAACAACCAGGAGGUUGGCUUAGAAGCAGCCAUCCUUUAAAGAAAGCGUAAUAGCUCACUGGUCUAGUGAUUUUGCGCGGAAAAUAUAACGGGGCUAAAGUAAGUACCGAAGCUGUAGACUUGCGCACAACUUAGAUUAUUUAAGUUUAGAAUAUGAGAAACUAAGUUAUAUUUUUACUGAUUUUUAUAGAGUAAAGAUAGAAAUAAAACUUAGUAAAAUCAGUAAAAAUAUUCUUAGGCUAAAGUUAAGUAGUUUAAGUUGUGUGCAAGUGGUAGGAGAGCGUU
rnacentral:rRNA from 1 species